rnacentral:rRNA from 1 species
UCCUGACUGACCGAUAGUGAACCAGUACCGUGAGGGAAAGGCGAAAAGAACCCCGGCGAGGGGAGUGAAAAAGAACCUGAAACCGUGUACGUACAAGCAGUGGGAGCACGCUUAGGCGUGUGACUGCGUACCUUUUGUAUAAUGGGUCAGCGACUUAUAUUCUGUAGCAAGGUUAACCGAAUAGGGGAGCCGAAGGGAAACCGAGUCUUAACUGGGCGUUAAGUUGCAGGGUAUAGACCCGAAACCCGGUGAUCUAGCCAUGGGCAGGUUGAAGGUUGGGUAACACUAACUGGAGGACCGAACCGACUAAUGUUGAAAAAUUAGCGGAUGACUUGUGGCUGGGGGUGAAAGGCCAAUCAAACCGGGAGAUAGCUGGUUCUCCCCGAAAGCUAUUUAGGUAGCGCCUCGUGAAUUCAUCUCCGGGGGUAGAGCACUGUUUCGGCAAGGGGGUCAUCCCGACUUACCAACCCGAUGCAAACUGCGAAUACCGGAGAAUGUUAUCACGGGAGACACACGGCGGGUGCUAACGUCCGUCGUGAAGAGGGAAACAACCCAGACCGCCAGCUAAGGUCCCAAAGU